rnacentral:rRNA from 1 species
GGAAUCUUGCGCAAUGGGCGAAAGCCUGACGCAGCGACACCGCGUGGAGGAAGAAGGCCCUAGGGCUGUAAACUCCUUUUCUUGGGGAAGAGAACGGACGGUACCUAAGGAAUAAGGAUCGGCUAACUACGUGCCAGCAGCCGCGGUAAUACGUAGGAUCUGAGCGUUGUACGGAUUUACUGGGCGUAAAGGGUGCGUAGGCGGUUCGUUAAGUCUCAUGUGAAAUCUCCUGGCUUAACUGGGAGGGGUCAUGGGAUACUGGCGAACUUGAGGUCAGUAGAGGAGAGCGGAAUUCCCGGAGUAGCGGUGAUAUGCGUAGAUACCGGGAGGAACACCAGAGGCGAAGGCGGCUCUCUGGGCUGAAUCUGACGCUGAUGCAUGAAAGCGUGGGGAGCAAAC